GGGAACUGGCAACAUCAACCGGGUUCCUACAAUUCAUCCACUCGCUGUGCACGAAAAAUGUGCUCACAUCUCCCGCUAUUUAUCUACGAGUCUAGAAAGACUCGGACACCAGCGGGAACCAGUAACCAUGAUAACAUUUGCCCAAAAACAUAACCUUCCCAGCAAUAAUGGAGGAAUUGCUAACGACACAUAAAAAUUCUCUUGCUCUUCGAUAACUGCUGCAAUGCAUGAACUGAAAACCUACAGAACAGAUAAUGCAGUCUCACCAGAGGGUCUUAAGUUUGCUUGAACAAUGCAGCUCAUCAACUGGACCACACCUCCCAAUUUCAUGCCCAUCAUCUAAAUACUAAUAGAUGCUUGGCCAUGACACUUUUGGAUCUAAACAAAACCUUCGACUCUGUAUAAACAAGGAGCCUUCUGUUCAAAAUUUGCGGGGAACAUACUGGAGGCAAUUUUGAUUCUCACAUUUUUAGGUAACUCCCAAUCAUGUCCCCCCUGAUAAAAAAAAGAAUUAUGCGCAUUUUUUUAAUCGUACCGGUACGAAUAAGUCCUCGCAUAGAGCAUGCAAAAUACGAAGCCUUGUUGGUGGCGCAUUGUGCGACUCGUUACAAUGAAUCGAAAGUACGCUGUGUUUUGUUUCUUGAGAUCCGGCUCGAAGAAUCUUUUGCUGGUACACAAGGAAUGUUAAAUAAAUAACCCGUGGUAUACUGUGUAAUGAAUCAAUAUAAUUCUAAGUAUAACAAACUUAACAGCAGCACAAGGAUAACAAUGGUGUGGAUGUUGAUUUGAUGUAUCGAAAGUUUCUCGUCCAGAAUACGUGUAUACAGGUGACCACGUAAUAUACAAGAAUCGUCUCGUCAAUAUUACAUGAAUCAUCUGGAGAAAUUUCUAUUGUUCGUCGGUACGACCUUGAAUAUUUGGCAUUUCGGCCCA